AACCUGCCACCAACUAGUUGCACCUGAUGAUCCCAUUACCUGCAGGGCUUUCUUGGACUGUUUUUUGCUAUGCGCUUGCUUUCAGGCAAGGAUUUGGAGAGGGACACGUGUUCUUGUGGCCUCAGUGACUGCUGGAGGCACCCACUUUCGCUGAUCAAAGGUGAAAGUUUGGAAGGAGGAGAAGCAGAUGUUGGAUUCAGACACUCAAAGAUUUUUGCAGUCUUCGCUGCUGUCUGCUGCCCAUGCUUAGAAAACUGACACAAGUAGUCUUGCUAAUUAAUUAGCCAAGAUGUCCACCUUUAUUUACUACACUUCAAGCAAACUGGAGAUUAGCUGGUUCCUGGGAAGCGCAGGUCUGACCCCGUGUGCUGAACAUGAGGCUCACAGAGAUGAUUUGUUACACUGUU